CCUCCUCGUCAUCCUCGAAGACACCUCGUCUAGCCGGAGCUGUUCCCGUCGCCACCAAAACAGGGGAGAGGAGAUGGCGGGCUAGGGAAGUGCGUUGUGCUGUUGCAAGCCGGCCGCCAGCGCGUGCAGAAGCAGUUCCAGUCAAUUCUCCACAUCGCCGCUGUCGUGCAUCUCCACAGACGCUUGCUCAAGAGUUUGAGGCUAGGCAGGGGAGAGGCUGCAAUCUCCAGGAGGCUCGCGCUGGUGGUCCGUCAAACGCUAGCGGUGUCGCAAGGCGGAGGUCGCCCGGAUGUGUUCCGACGACGGCGCUCGGAUCACACCGGCGGCCAGUAGUAGGCCGCGCGACUAUGAGUAACUCUCUAGCCAUAGUAGGCCGCACGAUGGCGAGUAGGUACGGCCGUCGUAGUUUUAGGUUAACUCGACUACCAUCUCUGUGAAGAUGGCCAAUCAAUAGUUAAUGAGAAACAUUUUGCUUAUAUUUGUAACUGCUCGGUGGGCUCAUACACAACUGAUGCGGACGCUCGGUGUGAAUGCGUAGCAUCUACAAACGCGGAGCAUAUUUGAGCCGCAUUUGUGUCUCCGUUGACAGUCUAUCACUAUGUGCCGGGCCACUGGACCUGGAUGCAAACGUAUUUUUUGACCACGCGGUCACAAA